rnacentral:rRNA from 1 species
UACGAGGGGUGCAAGCGUUGCUCGGAAUUAUUGGGCGUAAAGGGUAGGUAGGUGGUCUCAUUUGUCUGGGGUGAAAGCCUUGAGCUUAACUCAAGAAGUGCCCCAGAAACGGUGAGACUCGAGUCCUGGAGAGGGUCGUGGAAUUCCCGGUGUAGCGGUGAAAUGCGUAGAGAUCGGGAGGAACACCAGAGGCGAAGGCGGCGACCUGGACAGGCACUGACACUCAACUACGAAAGCGUGGGGAGCAAACAGG